rnacentral:lncRNA from 1 species
GUUCCUAUGGUAUAAUAAUUUUGGGGCAUAAGUCCAACUGCCUAACUUCCCUUCUUCCUGCCUGUUUUCCUGAAGUUGCGUCUGCAGGCUUCCUCUUAAUUCUAUGGAUCAUGCAAUAGUCUUUCAAGAAAUUAUCUUCUGCUUAGCUAGUCACUUCCUGUUGCUAGAACCAUGAAGAGGCCUGGUGAAAGAUGUUCAGUAUACUACCUGCAUCAGCUGCUACUGCUAUGUGACAAGCAAAUUUUCCAGAAACACUGACAUGGAAACAGGAUCUUUCUUCUCCUACUGUUUGUUCCUCGACUACAGUUAUAAUCCUCUAUUUGUGACAUCAUAAUUAGUUGCCACUGGAGAAGACGAUCGUGUCACAAAAGGAUUAGGACCUAAGGUCGUAAAAGGUGAUAUGGCUUCUGCCUGUUCCUCUUGGGAUUUGCAGUCUUGGAGUCCAGCCACUAUGCUGUGGGGAAGCAAAGAAAGCUGUGGAGAGGCCACGUGGGGAGGAAUGCCAUCCUUAGCAUGGGCUGAGCUCCCAGGCAGCACCCAUCUCCAGACAUGCGAGUGAACAGGACUUCCGGCAAUUCCAGCCCCAGCCACUGAGUCACUUCCAGUUUCUCAGUGUUUCCAGGGGAGGCCUCAGACACUAUGGAGCAAAGAAAAUCUGACCCAGCUGUGCCCUGUCCAAAUUCCUGACCCAUAGAGAAUACAAGAGAGAAUAAAACGAUGUUGUUUAAACCAUUAAAUUUUGA